GUUGGUUAUCGUGGGAAUUGAUGCAUCUCAAUCAGGAGAAGAAUAUUGGAAAUCUGUUUGGCCAAACACUCCUCUGCCUAAAGCUCUUUUAGAUUUGCUGCUGCCUGUUUCAUCUACUGUUGGGGCUUUGUCAAUGAACAUGUGAUCAAAUUCAGUUGGUUGGUUUGUGGUGUCUAAAUUGAUGUUCUUCAUGUGAAAUGGUGGAUGGAAUACAGGUAGGAUAGGUUGAUCUUCUGCUUUCAUAUCUUCAUCAACAUCAUUGUAUUUAGAAUCAUCGGAUGAUUCAUCAAAGUAUGUUUCAUCCUCUUCACUAUAGUCACCUAAUUCUUCCUCGUUGAUAUUAUACAAGACACUAAGCGGAAGAUCAUAUUGUGGACUUGUUGGGAGAGAUUUGUGACAGAGUUGUUGGGAGACAUUGUGGACUUGUUGAGUUUGUUCAUUUUGGCUAGAGUAUGGUUCAUAGUGUUGUGAUAGAGAAUAUACGUCAAGUUGAUAAGGGGUUCUUUGAUCAAAAGAUGGAAUGUAGUCGGGUUGAUAAUGAUCGAAUGAUUGGAUGUAGUUGGGAUUAGGUACGUUUGAGGUUGAUGGUUGAUUUGUUGAAGUAGGACCACUUUCAAAUGUAAUAUAUAACUCGAUGGUGCUGAUUUGUGACCACUGUGCAUAAACAUCAAACAUGAGUUGAACAUCUUCGUCAUCGCAAACCUUCAUCAGUUAUCAUGACACUGUCGUUGAGUUGUAACUUUUUCUUAAUGAAAUUCUUUAGACGAGCUAGGUUGCUGCUAGAAUAUACUUUGAACACCUCUUUGUAAUCACUUACAAAUGUUUUACCUUCAACUCCAUCGACAAUUGAACCAUUGUAAUAAACAACACAAAUGACUUGUUGAGCAACCAUGAUUAUGUAAUUGAUUAAGUAUGAAAUGUUAGACUGUAUGAUGAGAUAGAAGGUGUGGUGAUAUAGUGUGAUCUAGUUUUCUAUUUAUACAAGUUAGUAAAGUGUAGAAGAUCAAAAUUUAAUAUUUAAUAGAAUCAAUUUGAUUGGUCCAAAUAAAAUAACAAGGAUUCAUAUUUUUCUACUGAACCAUCCAUAGUCAUUGAUAAAUUAAUUUGGAUGGUCAAGAUUUAAUAUUUAAUAGAAUCAAGUUGAUUGGUCCUGGUAAAAUAACAAGGAUUCAUAUUUUUCUACUGAACCAUCCACAAUUGCUGAUAAAUUAAUUUGGAUGGUCAAGAUUAAAGGUUUAAUAGAUCAAUUUGAUUGGUCCAACUAAAAUAACAAGGAUUCUUACUAUUCUACUGAACCAUCCACGACUGUUGAUAAACUACUUUGGAUUGUCCAAAUUAAAUAAAAUGAAAUGAACAAGGAUCCACACCUUUGACUGUAACAAGCAUCCACACUUUUGAUUGUAACUAGGAUCCACAACCAUCGAUUAGAUGAAAUGAGUGGCUCGAAUUCAUCCGUAAGGGAUCGCAACCUGGGGAUGCGACGUCUCAAAGAGAGUGUUGCCUGGGGAUGCGACGUCCCAAAUGGAUCGCUGACGGGGGGGAUCGCAACGUGGCCCUGCGAUUUCCUAGAUAAAGUAUCCAAACCAACGUUCUCAAAUACACUUCCUCCAACAUUCUUAAUCUAAAUUUCUUAAAUCACAUAGCUGAAAAUUUCUACAAUGCAUUUGUAAUUUCUUCAAAGUUCUCAAACACACUUUCUCCAAUUUUUCUAAUGGAAUUAUCUACAAAUCACAUAGCUGAAGUUCAAUACAUUAACGCAUUUGUAAGUAUUUUAUAUUAGUGUCAUAUAUAUUGAGUAUUUUAUAUUACUAUCAUAUACAUUAUUUUCAAAUAUAUUAGCGUAGUACUUUAUAUAUUAUUAAUUUCAUAUACCCUCCAAGGACAAACUGAGAUGUCAUGGCCAUGUCAACAAUAAACCGAACGAAGCCAUAUUACCAUAUUUGCAACAGGUCGAAUUUGGUGAAGUGAUUAAACUUGAAAACUAUAAAAUAGAUCUCUGUUUGAUUACUGCUACGGUUGAAAGAUGGAGACCAGAAACUCAUACUUUUCAUCUCCUAAUAGGUGAAUGCACAAUAACUUUAGAAGACAUAUACUACAUUUUAGGAUUAAAUGUUUCUGAUUUUCCUGUUAGCGGUUCAAAUUUUGUGAAUGUUAAAGAUGUUUGUCAAGAAUACUUUGGAGUUAUCCUACCCGAGGGAGCAACGAAGGGUAAUUUAUUAAAUUAAAAUGGCUUAAAGAUACUUUUGACGAUGUUGGUGAAAAUGCAUCUGAAGUAGAAAAAGAAGCAUCAUGUCGAGCAUAUAUACUACGUAUGAUCAGAGAAUUGUUGGUGUCGGACAAAUCCAACAAUCGUGUACAUUUAAAAUAUCUUUCACUCUUGGGCGAUUUAAAUAAAGCAUCCCAAUAUAGUUGGGGUUCGGCAAUUUUAGCAACACUCUAUAGAGAAUUAUGCCUUGCUACGAAACCCGACGUGAUAUCGAUGGGAGGAUGUGCAUUGUUGUUGCAAAACCGGACAUAGUAUCAUUUGACUUGUGUUGCUCUAGAUGCACCAAGUGCAUGAAUAUUUCCACUUGCACAAAGAUUUAAUUUCGGUGGUCUAAAUUUCAGUAGAGUUCCUCACAAUGAUAUAGAAGGAUAUCAGAAUACAAUCGAUCAUAUGAUGGUUCAGGAAUUUCGUUGGAGACCGUAUCUCGGAUUCCAACAUGAGGUAGCCGAACAAGAGAUGAACACUUGGACUGCAUGUACCUAUCUGCAUUAUUAUCAUAUCAUCGAAAAACAUUAUGCAGAUAGAGUCACACUUUCAGUUUGGCUUCCAUCAACAAAUUCCGCAACCUUCGGAGGAUAUGACAAUCUAUCAUGAGGUCGACAUGAGGCGUGACAUUGAUGAUAAUUGGAGUGUGGUUUGAAAAGAUGAGAUUUAACAUUAGAAUGAACGUUAUAAUUACGUAUUGCAAGGUCAAUUCAUAGAAGGUGUUUUACACCAGAGUAAAGAAUAUAUGAAUUGGUUCAUACAUCACACCAAAUUAUAUAUAUAUAUGUGGAAAGAUACCUGUGUGAUCCACGUUUGCAACCUUCAACAUAUCCUGAUGUUCACUCAACCCCUCAAUCAAUCCCACAACAACAUAGCAUGCAUUAAACACCAUUUUUUAUCAUCACCACCACAUCUACAUGAAUCUGCAGAUAUACUGACUCAGUACUACGUUCCUUCAGUGCAAACAAUACCAACUCCCGUUAAUCCGACAUGGAGUGAGAUUUUUUAUAAUUUAUUUGGUACUCAUUGUACAACUCCUGAGUCGGCUUAUGCUAUUUUUGAUUCCAUGUAUAACAUCAAAACUCAAAUUUAUACCGAAGCAGGUGGUAGUGGUUCUAAUCCACA